rnacentral:rRNA from 1 species
AUCGAACUCGGAGAUAGCUGGUUCUCCUCGAAAUAGCUUUAGGGCUAGCCUUGAGGUAAAGUCUAAUGGAGGUAAAGCACUGAUUGGACGCGGGUCCCCAAAAGGAUACCAACUUCUAUCAAACUCAGAAUGCCAUAUAGAUAUACUCAGGAGUCAGACUAUGUGAGAUAAGUUUCAUAGUCAAAAGGGAAAGAGCCCAGACCGACAGCUAAGGUCCCAAAGUGUGUGUUAAGUGGAAAAGGAUGUUAGGUUUCUAAGACAACUAGGAUGUUGGCUCAGAAGCAGCCACUCAUUUAAAGAGUGCGUAACAGCUCACUAGUCGAGAGGUCUAGCGCCGAAAAUGUCCGGGGCUAAAACACACCACCGAAGCUACGGAAUUACCUAUGGUAAUUGGUAGAGGAGCAUUCUGUAAGGAUGAAGCACAAUUGAAAGAGAGUGUGGACGAAACAGAAGAGAGAAUGCCGGAAUGAGUAGCGAGAUAUAUGUGAGAAUCAUAUAGGUCGAAUGUCUAAGGUUUCCUGGGUAAAGCUGAUCUGCUCAGGGUAAGUCGGGACCUAAGGUGAGGGCGAGAGCCGUAAUCGAUGGACAACAGGUAGAAAUUCCUGUACUACGUAUAAUCAGAACUGUGGGGACGCAGGAGGAUAGGAAAACCGGAGAAUGGAAAAAUCCGGCUAAGUACAAAGGUGUGAGUGAUAGGCAAAUCCGUCACUAUUAGCUGAAGUACGAAUGGGAGCGAAGAAAAGUAGCGAAGUUUCUGAAUCCACACUGUCAAGAAAAGCCGCUAUUGCGUUAUACGUACCCGUACCGCAAACCGACACAGGUAGACGAGGAGAAAAUCCACAGACCGACGGGAGAAGUGUUGUUAAGGAACUCGGCAAAAUGACCCCGUAACUUAGGGAUAAGGGGAGCCAACGCAAGUUGGUCACAGAAAAGAGGCUCAAGCGACUGUUUAGCAAAAACAUAGGUCUAUGCGAAACCGUAAGGUGAUGUAUAUGGGCUGACACCUGCCCGGUGCUGGAAGGUCAAAAGGAGAGGUUAGCGUAAGCGAAGCUUUGAAUUCAAGCCCCAGUAAACGGCGGCCGUAACUAUAACGGUCCUAAGGUAGCGAAAUUCCUUGUCAGGUAAGUUCUGACCCGCACGAAAGGUGUAACGAUUUGAGCACUGUCUCGACAACACGCCCGGUGAAAUUGAAGAACCAGUGAAGAUACUGGUUACCCGCAACAGGACGGAAAGACCCCAUGGAGCUUUACUGCAGCUUAAUAUUGGGAUUCGGUAUUGUAUGUACAGGAUAGGAGGGAGACUAAGAAGCUAGCACGCCAGUGUUGGUGGAGUCGAUGGUGGGAUACCUCUCUUAUAAUACUGAAUUUCUAACCUACUUCCGUGAUCCGGAAGAGGGACAUUGUUAGGCGGGCAGUUUGACUGGGGCGGUCGCCUCCGAAAGAGUAACGGAGGCGCUCAAAGGUCUUCUCAGAAUGAUUGGAAACCAUUCAAAGAGUGUAAAGGCAAAAGAAGGCUUGACUGCGAGAGUGACAACUCGAGCAGGUACGAAAGUAGGACUUAGUGAUCCGGUGGUAACAAGUGGGAGUGCCAUCGCUUAACGGAUAAAAGCUACCCUGGGGAUAACAGGCUUAUCUCCCCCAAGAGUUCACAUCGACGGGGAGGUUUGGCACCUCGAUGUCGGCUCAUCGCAUCCUGGGGCUGUAGUAGGUCCCAAGGGUUGGGCUGUUCGCCCAUUAAAGCGGUACGCGAGCUGGGUUCAGAACGUCGUGAGACAGUUCGGUCCCUAUCCGUUGUGGGCGUAGGAAAUUUGAUAGGAGCUGUCCUUAGUACGAGAGGACCGGGAUGGACGAACCUCUGGUGAAUCUGUUGGUAACCAAUGCCACAGCAGAAUAGCCAAGUUUGGAACGGAUAAACGCUGAAGGCAUCUAAGCGUGAAGCCAACCUAAAGACUAGAUUUCCCAUGCGAAAGCAGUAAGACUCCUUGU